rnacentral:rRNA from 1 species
GAUGAACGCUGGCGGCGUGCUUAACACAUGCAAGUCGAACGGAAAGGCCCAAGCUUGCUUGGGUACUCGAGUGGCGAACGGGUGAGUAACACGUGGGUGAUCUGCCCUGCACUUCGGGAUAAGCCUGGGAAACUGGGUCUAAUACCGGAUAGGACGAUGGUUUGGAUGCCAUUGUGGAAAGUUUUUUCGGUGUGGGAUGAGCUCGCGGCCUAUCAGCUUGUUGGUGGGGUAAUGGCCUACCAAGGCGUCGACGGGUAGCCGGCCUGAGAGGGUGUACGGCCACAUUGGGACUGGGAUACGGCCCAGACUCCUACGGGAGGAAGCAGUGGGGAAUAUUGCACAAUGGGCGCAAGCCUGAUGCAGCGACGCCGCGUGGGGGAUGACGGCCUUCGGGUUGUAAACUCCUUUCGCUAGGGACGAAGCGUUUUUGUGACGGUACCUGGAGAAGAAGCACCGGCUAACUACGUG